UACGUAGGCAGCGAGCGUUGUUCGGAAUUACUGGGCGUAACGAGUGUGUAGGCGGUGCCUUAAGUUCGGUGUGAAAUCUCCCGGCUCAACUGGGAGGGUGCGCCGGAAACUGGGGUGCUCGAACGUGGGAGAGGAAAGCGGAAUUCCUGGUGUAGCGAUGAAAUGCGUAGAUAUCAGGAGGAACACCUGUGGUGUAGACGGCUUUCUGGACCAUUGUUGACGCUGAGACACGAAAGCGUGGGUAGCAAACAGG
rnacentral:rRNA from 1 species